rnacentral:tRNA from 2 species
GGGCCCAUAGCUCAGUUGGUAGAGCGAUCGCUUCGCAGGCGAUAGGUCGCGGGUUCGAGUCCCGCUGGGUCCACCA